rnacentral:rRNA from 1 species
GGGGGCCCGCACAAGCGGCGGAGCAUGCGGAUUAAUUCGAUGCAACGCGAAGAACCUUACCAAGGCUUGACAUGUGCCAGACCGCCGUGGAAACACGGUUUCCCCUUUGGGGCUGGUUCACAGGUGGUGCAUGGUUGUCGUCAGCUCGUGUCGUGAGAUGUUGGGUUAAGUCCCGCAACGAGCGCAACCCUCGUUCCAUGUUGCCAGCGCGUAAAGGCGGGGACUCAUGGGAGACUGCCGGGGUCAACUCGGAGGAAGGUGGGGACGACGUCAAAUCAUCAUGCCCCUUAUGUCUUGGGCUUCACGCAUGCUACAAUGGCCGGUACAAAGGGUUGCGAUACUGUGAGGUGGAGCUAAUCCCAAAAAGCCGGUCUCAGUUCGGAUUGAGGUCUGCAACUCGACCUCAUGAAGUCGGAGUCGCUAGUAAUCGCAGAUCAGCAACGCUGCGGUGAAUACGUUCCCGGGCCUUGUACACACCGCCCGUCAAGUCACGAAAGUUGGUAACACCCGAAGCCGGUGGCCUAACCCCUUGUGGGAGGGAGCCGUCGAAGGUGGGACUGGCGAUUGGGACUAAG